rnacentral:rRNA from 1 species
UACGGAGGGUGCGAGCGUUGUCCGGAAUCACUGGGCGUAAAGGGCGCGUAGGCGGCCUGAUAAGUAGGGGGUGAAAUCCUGCGGCUUAACCGCAGGGCUGCCUUCUAAACUGUCAGGCUAGAGCACAGUAGAGGCAGGUGGAAUUCCCGGUGUAGCGGUGGAAUGCGUAGAGAUCGGGAAGAACACCAGUGGCGAAGGCGGCUCACUGGCCCGGUACUGACGCUGAGGUGCGAAAGCGUGGGGAGCAAACAGG